rnacentral:rRNA from 1 species
CACGUUCGGACUGUAGUCUGCAACCCGACUACACGAAGCUGGAAUCGCUAGUAAUCGCGAAUCAGAAUGUCGCGGUGAAUACGUUCCCGGGUCUUGUACACACCGCCCGUCACGCCAUGGGAGUCGGGAAUGCCCGAAGUCAGUGACCCAACCAUAUGGAGGGAGCUGCCGAAGGCAGGUCUGAUAACUGGGGUGAAGUCGUAACAAGGUAGC